rnacentral:rRNA from 1 species
GGGUUGUGAGGUUAAGCGACUAAGCGUACACGGUGGAUGCCCUGGCAGUCAGAGGCGAUGAAGGACGUGCUAAUCUGCGAAAAGCGUCGGUAAGGUGAUAUGAACCGUUAUAACCGGCGAUGUCCGAAUGGGGAAACCCAGUGUGAUUCGUCACACUAUCGUUAACUGAAUACAUAGGUUAACGAGGCGAACCGGGGGAACUGAAACAUCUAAGUACCCCGAGGAAAAGAAAUCAACCGAGAUUCCCCCAGUAGCGGCGAGCGAACGGGGAGCAGCCCAGAGUCUGAAUCAGCUUGUGUGUUAGUGGAACGGUCUGGAAAGUCCGACGGUACAGGGUGAUAGUCCCGUACACCAAAAUGCACAGGCUGUGAACUCGAAGAGUAGGGCGGGACACGUGGUAUCCUGUCUGAAUAUGGGGGGACCAUCCUCCAAGGCUAAAUACUCCUGACUGACCGAUAGUGAACCAGUACCGUGAGGGAAAGGCGAAAAGAACCCCGGCGAGGGGAGUGAAAAAGAACCUGAAACCGUGUACGUACAAGCAGUGGGAGCACCUUCGGGUGUGACUGCGUACCUUUUGUAUAAUGGGUCAGCGACUUAUAUUCUGUAGCAAGGUUAACCGUAUAGGGGAGCCGCAGGGAAACCGAGUCUUAACUGGGCGUUAAGUUGCAGGGUAUAGACCCGAAACCCGGUGAUCUAGCCAUGGGCAGGUUGAAGGUUGGGUAACACUAACUGGAGGACCGAACCGACUAAUGUUGAAAAAUUAGCGGAUGACUUGUGGCUGGGGGUGAAAGGCCAAUCAAACCGGGAGAUAGCUGGUUCUCCCCGAAAGCUAUUUAGGUAGCGCCUCGUGAAUUCAUCUUCGGGGGUAGAGCACUGUUUCGGCUAGGGGGUCAUCCCGACUUACCAACCCGAUGCAAACUACGAAUACCGAAGAAUGUUAUCACGGGAGACACACGGCGGGUGCUAACGUCCGUCGUGAAGAGGGAAACAACCCAGACCGCCAGCUAAGGUCCCAAAGUCAUGGUUAAGUGGGAAACGAUGUGGGAAGGCACAGACAGCCAGGAUGUUGGCUUAGAAGCAGCCAUCAUUUAAAGAAAGCGUAAUAGCUCACUGGUCGAGUCGGCCUGCGCGGAAGAUGUAACGGGGCUAAACCAUGCACCGAAGCUGCGGCAGCGACACUAUGUGUUGUUGGGUAGGGGAGCGUUCUGUAAGCCUGCGAAGGUGUGCUGUGAGGCAUGCUGGAGGUAUCAGAAGUGCGAAUGCUGACAUAAGUAACGAUAAAGCGGGUGAAAAGCCCGCUCGCCGGAAGACCAAGGGUUCCUGUCCAACGUUAAUCGGGGCAGGGUGAGUCGACCCCUAAGGCGAGGCCGAAAGGCGUAGUCGAUGGGAAACAGGUUAAUAUUCCUGUACUUGGUGUUACUGCGAAGGGGGGACGGAGAAGGCUAUGUUAGCCGGGCGACGGUUGUCCCGGUUUAAGCAUGUAGGCUGGUUGUCCAGGCAAAUCCGGAUAAUCAAGGCUGAGGUGUGAUGACGAGGCACUACGGUGCUGAAGUAACAAAUGCCCUGCUUCCAGGAAAAGCCUCUAAGCAUCAGGUAACAUCAAAUCGUACCCCAAACCGACACAGGUGGUCAGGUAGAGAAUACCAAGGCGCUUGAGAGAACUCGGGUGAAGGAACUAGGCAAAAUGGUGCCGUAACUUCGGGAGAAGGCACGCUGGUGUGUAGGUGAAGCCCCUGCGGGUGGAGCUGAGACCAGUCGAAGAUACCAGCUGGCUGCAACUGUUUAUUAAAAACACAGCACUGUGCAAACACGAAAGUGGACGUAUACGGUGUGACGCCUGCCCGGUGCCGGAAGGUUAAUUGAUGGGGUUAUCCGUAAGGAGAAGCUCUUGAUCGAAGCCCCGGUAAACGGCGGCCGUAACUAUAACGGUCCUAAGGUAGCGAAAUUCCUUGUCGGGUAAGUUCCGACCUGCACGAAUGGCGUAAUGAUGGCCAGGCUGUCUCCACCCGAGACUCAGUGAAAUUGAACUCGCUGUGAAGAUGCAGUGUACCCGCGGCAAGACGGAAAGACCCCGUGAACCUUUACUAUAGCUUGACACUGAACAUUGAGCCUUGAUGUGUAGGAUAGGUGGGAGGCUUUGAAGCGUGGACGCCAGUCUGCGUGGAGCCAACCUUGAAAUACCACCCUUUAAUGUUUGAUGUUCUAACGUUGGCCCCUGACCGGGGUUGCGGACAGUGUCUGGUGGGUAGUUUGACUGGGGCGGUCUCCUCCCAAAGCGUAACGGAGGAGCACGAAGGUUAGCUAAUCCUGGUCGGACAUCAGGAGGUUAGUGCAAUGGCAUAAGCUAGCUUGACUGCGAGCGUGACGGCGCGAGCAGGUGCGAAAGCAGGUCAUAGUGAUCCGGUGGUUCUGAAUGGAAGGGCCAUCGCUCAACGGAUAAAAGGUACUCCGGGGAUAACAGGCUGAUACCGCCCAAGAGUUCAUAUCGACGGCGGUGUUUGGCACCUCGAUGUCGGCUCAUCACAUCCUGGGGCUGAAGUAGGUCCCAAGGGUAUGGCUGUUCGCCAUUUAAAGUGGUACGCGAGCUGGGUUUAGAACGUCGUGAGACAGUUCGGUCCCUAUCUGCCGUGGGCGCUGGAGAAUUGAGGGGGGCUGCUCCUAGUACGAGAGGACCGGAGUGGACGCAUCACUGGUGUUCGGGUUGUCAUGCCAAUGGCACUGCCCGGUAGCUAAAUGCGGAAGAGAUAAGUGCUGAAAGCAUCUAAGCACGAAACUUGCCCCGAGAUGAGUUCUCCCUGAGACUUUAAGUCUCCUGAAGGAACGUUAAAGACGAUGACGUUGAUAGGCCGGGUGUGUAAGCGCAGCGAUGCGUUGAGCUAACCGGUACUAAUGAACCGUGAGGCUUAACCUUACAACGCCGAAG